UACCUCCCAAGAUCAUAUGUAGAGAAUGACUAUUAUUCUGCCAGGUUCCAGAAGGAAAGCAAGCCUGGCAGAGGUACCUGUUCCAUCCCCAGCUUGUUCAGUAGCUGGUGAUUCAACAACACUCUGCAGUAAUA
rnacentral:snoRNA from 1 species